AAUCAACCGAGAUUCCCCCAGUAGCGGCGAGCGAACGGGGAGGAGCCCAGAGCCUGAAUCAGCAUGUGUGUUAGUGGAAGCGUCUGGAAAGGCGCGCGAUACAGGGUGACAGCCCCGUACACAAAAGCGCAUGUGCUGUGAGCUCGAUGAGUAGGGCGGGACACGUGGUAUCCUGUCUGAAUAUGGGGGGACCAUCCUCCAAGGCUAAAUACUCCUGACUGACCGAUAGUGAACCAGUACCGUGAGGGAAAGGCGAAAAGAACCCCGGCGAGGGGAGUGAAAAAGAACCUGAAACCGUGUACGUACAAGCAGUGGGAGCACAGGUUUACCUGUGUGACUGCGUACCUUUUGUAUAAUGGGUCAGCGACUUAUAUUCUGUAGCAAGGUUAACCGUAUAGGGGAGCCGUAGGGAAACCGAGUCUUAACCGGGCGUUAAGUUGCAGGGUAUAGACCCGAAACCCGGUGAUCUAGCCAUGGGCAGGUUGAAGGUUGGGUAACACUAACUGGAGGACCGAACCGACUAAUGUUGAAAAAUUAGCGGAUGACCUGUGGCUGGGGGUGAAAGGCCAAUCAAACCGGGAGAUAGCUGGUUCUCCCCGAAAGCUAUUUAGGUAGCGCCUCGUGAAUUCAUCUCCGGGGGUAGAGCACUGUUUCGGCUAGGGGGCCAUCCCGGCUUACCAACCCGAUGCAAACUGCGAAUACCGGAGAAUGUUAUCACGGGAGACACACGGCGGGUGCUAACGUCCGUCGUGAAGAGGGAAACAACCCAGACCGCCAGCUAAGGUCCCAAAGUCAUGGUUAAGUGGGAAACGAUGUGGGAAGGCCCAGACAGCCAGGAUGUUGGCUUAGAAGCAGCCAUCAUUUAAAGAAAGCGUAAUAGCUCACUGGUCGAGUCGGCCUGCGCGGAAGAUGUAACGGGGCUAAACCAUGCACCGAAGCUGCGGCAGCGACGCUGAUGCGUUGUUGGGUAGGGGAGCGUUCUGUAAGCCUGUGAAGGUGGCCUGUGAGGGUUGCUGGAGGUAUCAGAAGUGCGAAUGCUGACAUAAGUAACGAUAAAGCGGGUGAAA
rnacentral:rRNA from 1 species